UACGGCGAUAUCACGUGACAACAACGGUUCUCGUUCGAUCACCGAGGUUAAGCAACAUCGAGAUUGGUCAGUACCUUGAUUGGUAACCACUUGGGAAUACCAGGUGCUGUAG